AUAUGUUGACAAGCGAUGGGUGCUGACGCUAUACGCGGAAGCUUAAAAGGGAAGCCGGUGAAAAUCCGGUGCGGUCGCGCCACUGUAAUGGGGAGCAUUCUGCACGAAGCCACUGUUCUGCAAUGGAAUGGGAAGGCAGCAGCAUGCAGUGAACCAGAGCCAGGAGACCUGCCUGUCGUAUGCACUUUAA
rnacentral:ncRNA from 2 species